rnacentral:rRNA from 1 species
CACGGAGUUAGCCGAUCCUUAUUCCUUCGGUACAUUCAGCUCUCUACACGUAGAAAGGUUUAUUCCCGAAUAAAAGCAGUUUACGACCCAGAGGGCUGUCUUCCUGCACGCGGCAUGGCUGGUUCAGAGUUGCCUCCAUUGACCAAUAUUCCUUACUGCUGCCUCCCGUAGGAGUCUGGUCCGUGUCUCAGUACCAGUGUGGGGGGUCAUCCUCUCAGAUCCCCUAGUCAUCGUCGCCUUGGUGGGCCGUUACCCCGCCAACUAGCUAAUGACACGCAUGCCCAUCUUAUUCCUAUAAAUAUUUGAUCAUUAACCAAUGCUGGUCUGUGAUUUUAUGCGGUGUUAAUCCGAAUUUCUUCGGGCUAUCCCCCUGAAUAAGGUAGGUUGCAUACGCGUUACGCACCCGUGCGCCACUUUUCGUUGGAGUAAACCCCAACUAUCGUUCGACUUGCAUGUAUUAGGCCUGCCGCUAGCGUUCAUCCUGAGCCAGGAUCAAACUC